AUAAAUGAGCGGUAAGACCUUUGUGGGUUGUUCUGUGUGUUCCCUUCCAUAGGUUGGCCACAGCACAGACGCAACAGGCCCGCAGGGCACGCUCUUUUU
rnacentral:sRNA from 12 species